rnacentral:lncRNA from 1 species
CAGGGUGUGGGGUGGGAGUCUCCCACUGAGAAAAGGGAGCAAGCUUUGGGUUCUCUCAGAACUACUGACAAGAACCAUGUUGUGACAUGGUAAUGAAAACCCCAACCACGGAGAGACCAUCCUGGUGAGAUUUUACGAUCGCCGGUUCCUCGUCCUCUGUUUUGGAAGACUUUCAUAACACUCAAAGAAUUGCUGUCAAGGACAGAGUUUGUUGGGAAAAAAAAUUGAAGUGUUUGGUCUCUAGCAAAGAAUGACAACAUAGGAGCGUCUGAGUGAAUAAGGAAGAAUUAAGAAACUAAGUUAAAAUACUUGGACUGAAUGCUUCAUUUGUGCCUGUCAGGAUUCUAAGCAGUUUAUGUGUAUUAUUGACUCAUGGAGUUGUCGAGGAGGAAGGUGCCAUUAUUAUCCUCAUUUUUCUGAUAAGGAAACUGAGGCACAGAGAAGUUAAGCCACUUACCAAAGCUCACACCGCCAAUGAAGGUGGACUUGGCUUCAUAUUCCACGUUCUGAAACCACUAAGCGAGACUACACAUAUAUUCUGAGGAGGAGCUUGGAGCUGAGGCUCACGCUUGAGGAAGUUCACGGGCUGAGCUAUAAACUCAUCACAGUACAACUUAGUGAGAAGCUCCGUACUACCUGUAACGGGAUGCUGUCGUUUACUUACAAAUAUGUUUCCGUACUCCCUGUGUUUAAAAGGAGAUAUUAGCUAUGACUAACACACGUCCUUCAAAUCUGUUAGAGUGGUAUUUCUCUAGAAGGAUGAUCAGUUCAUCAAGGGGGAAGAUAUCCACCAAGCAUCGAGAGACAGGGGAGCCUCUGAAAGCAAAUGGGGAGAGCCUUCCCAGAACUACAUUUGGCAGAAGCCCGACACUCAGAGCUCACAGAGAAGAAUAGCCAUUGUGUCACAGCUCCACUGAGCCUCAGCACAACCCCUACCAUCUGGACAUGUGUGUCUGGUGGCGGCAGAGUUAGGAAAGGCCUAGGUCCUGCUGCUCUUUAGAAAGACCUGACCAACACUGUCUGAAGUAUAAUCCACUUCUUACGGGGUUCUUCCUAUGCCUGUGUAUAUUUUAGCAUUGUGUCUGUACUUGAAUUUACCUUCCAAACCAGGGGUGAAUUUUCUGUUGCUACUGUCAAUAUUUAAAAAAUAAGUCUUUUUUAUGUUUAUUUUUCAAAGC